GGGUUGUGAGGUUAAGCGACUAAGCGUACACGGUGGAUGCCCUGGCAGUCAGAGGCGAUGAAGGACGUGCUAAUCUGCGAAAAGCGUCGGUAAGGUGAUAUGAACCGUUAUAGCCGGCGAUGUCCGAAUGGGGAAACCCAGUGUGAUUCGUCACACUAUCGUUAACUGAAUACAUAGGUUAACGAGGCGAACCGGGGGAACUGAAACAUCUAAGUACCCCGAGGAAAAGAAAUCAACCGAGAUUCCCCCAGUAGCGGCGAGCGAACGGGGAGCAGCCCAGAGUCUGAAUCAGCUUGUGUGUUAGUGGAACGGUCUGGAAAGUCCGACGGUACAGGGUGAUAGUCCCGUACACCAAAAUGCACAGGCUGUGAACUCGAAGAGUAGGGCGGGACACGUGGUAUCCUGUCUGAAUAUGGGGGGACCAUCCUCCAAGGCUAAAUACUCCUGACUGACCGAUAGUGAACCAGUACCGUGAGGGAAAGGCGAAAAGAACCCCGGCGAGGGGAGUGAAAAAGAACCUGAAACCGUGUACGUACAAGCAGUGGGAGCACCUUCGGGUGUGACUGCGUACCUUUUGUAUAAUGGGUCAGCGACUUAUAUUCUGUAGCAAGGUUAACCGUAUAGGGGAGCCGCAGGGAAACCGAGUCUUAACUGGGCGUUAAGUUGCAGGGUAUAGACCCGAAACCCGGUGAUCUAGCCAUGGGCAGGUUGAAGGUUGGGUAACACUAACUGGAGGACCGAACCGACUAAUGUUGAAAAAUUAGCGGAUGACUUGUGGCUGGGGGUGAAAGGCCAAUCAAACCGGGAGAUAGCUGGUUCUCCCCGAAAGCUAUUUAGGUAGCGCCUCGUGAAUUCAUCUUCGGGGGUAGAGCACUGUUUCGGCUAGGGGGUCAUCCCGACUUACCAACCCGAUGCAAACUACGAAUACCGAAGAAUGUUAUCACGGGAGACACACGGCGGGUGCUAACGUCCGUCGUGAAGAGGGAAACAACCCAGACCGCCAGCUAAGGUCCCAAAGUCAUGGUUAAGUGGGAAACGAUGUGGGAAGGCACAGACAGCCAGGAUGUUGGCUUAGAAGCAGCCAUCAUUUAAAGAAAGCGUAAUAGCUCACUGGUCGAGUCGGCCUGCGCGGAAGAUGUAACGGGGCUAAACCAUGCACCGAAGCUGCGGCAGCGACACUAUGUGUUGUUGGGUAGGGGAGCGUUCUGUAAGCCUGCGAAGGUGACCUGUGAGGGUUGCUGGAGGUAUCAGAAGUGCGAAUGCUGACAUAAGUAACGAUAAAGCGGGUGAAAAGCCCGCUCGCCGGAAGACCAAGGGUUCCUGUCCAACGUUAAUCGGGGCAGGGUGAGUCGACCCCUAAGGCGAGGCCGAAAGGCGUAGUCGAUGGGAAACAGGUUAAUAUUCCUGUACUUGGUGUUACUGCGAAGGGGGGACGGAGAAGGCUAUGUUAGCCGGGCGACGGUUGUCCCGGUUUAAGCAUGUAGGCUGGUUAUCCAGGCAAAUCCGGAUAAUCAAGGCUGAGGUGUGAUGACGAGGCACUACGGUGCUGAAGUAACAAAUGCCCUGCUUCCAGGAAAAGCCUCUAAGCAUCAGGUAACAUCAAAUCGUACCCCAAACCGACACAGGUGGUCAGGUAGAGAAUACCAAGGCGCUUGAGAGAACUCGGGUGAAGGAACUAGGCAAAAUGGUGCCGUAACUUCGGGAGAAGGCACGCUGGUGUGUAGGUGAAGUCCCUGCGGAUGGAGCUGAGACCAGUCGAAGAUACCAGCUGGCUGCAACUGUUUAUUAAAAACACAGCACUGUGCAAACACGAAAGUGGACGUAUACGGUGUGACGCCUGCCCGGUGCCGGAAGGUUAAUUGAUGGGGUUAUCCGUAAGGAGAAGCUCUUGAUCGAAGCCCCGGUAAACGGCGGCCGUAACUAUAACGGUCCUAAGGUAGCGAAAUUCCUUGUCGGGUAAGUUCCGACCUGCACGAAUGGCGUAAUGAUGGCCAGGCUGUCUCCACCCGAGACUCAGUGAAAUUGAACUCGCUGUGAAGAUGCAGUGUACCCGCGGCAAGACGGAAAGACCCCGUGAACCUUUACUAUAGCUUGACACUGAACAUUGAGCCUUGAUGUGUAGGAUAGGUGGGAGGCUUUGAAGCGUGGACGCCAGUCUGCGUGGAGCCAACCUUGAAAUACCACCCUUUAAUGUUUGAUGUUCUAACGUUGGCCCCUUACCGGGGUUGCGGACAGUGUCUGGUGGGUAGUUUGACUGGGGCGGUCUCCUCCCAAAGCGUAACGGAGGAGCACGAAGGUUAGCUAAUCCUGGUCGGACAUCAGGAGGUUAGUGCAAUGGCAUAAGCUAGCUUGACUGCGAGCGUGACGGCGCGAGCAGGUGCGAAAGCAGGUCAUAGUGAUCCGGUGGUUCUGAAUGGAAGGGCCAUCGCUCAACGGAUAAAAGGUACUCCGGGGAUAACAGGCUGAUACCGCCCAAGAGUUCAUAUCGACGGCGGUGUUUGGCACCUCGAUGUCGGCUCAUCACAUCCUGGGGCUGAAGUAGGUCCCAAGGGUAUGGCUGUUCGCCAUUUAAAGUGGUACGCGAGCUGGGUUUAGAACGUCGUGAGACAGUUCGGUCCCUAUCUGCCGUGGGCGCUGGAGAAUUGAGGGGGGCUGCUCCUAGUACGAGAGGACCGGAGUGGACGCAUCACUGGUGUUCGGGUUGUCAUGCCAAUGGCACUGCCCGGUAGCUAAAUGCGGAAGAGAUAAGUGCUGAAAGCAUCUAAGCACGAAACUUGCCCCGAGAUGAGUUCUCCCUGAGACUUUAAGUCUCCUGAAGGAACGUUGAAGACGACGACGUUGAUAGGCCGGGUGUGUAAGCGCAGCGAUGCGUUGAGCUAACCGGUACUAAUGAACCGUGAGGCUUAACCUUACAACGCCGAAG
rnacentral:rRNA from 1 species